rnacentral:rRNA from 1 species
CCUACGGGAGGCAGCAGUAGGGAAUAUUGCUCAAUGGGGGAAACCCUGAAGCAGCAACGCAGCGUGGAGGAUGAAGGUUUUCGGAUUGGAAACUCCUUUUGAUAGAGAAGAAAAUGACGGUAUCUAACGAAUAAGCACCGGCUAACUCCGUGCCAGCAGCCGCGGUAAUACGGAGGGUGCCAGCGUUACUCGGAAUCACUGGGCGUAAAGAGGGCGUAGGCGGGAUAGCAAGUCAGAUGUGAAAGUCUAUGGCUUAACCGUAGAACUGCAUUUGAAACUGUUAUUCUAGAGUAUGGGAGAGGUAGGUGGAAUUCUUGGUGUAGCGGUGAAAUCCGUAGAGAUCACGAGGAAUACUCAUUGCGAAGGCGGCCUGCUAGACCAUAACUGACGCUGAUGCGCGAAAGCGUGGGGAGCAAACAGGAUUAGAUACCCCAGUAGUC